rnacentral:rRNA from 1 species
UACGGAGGGUGCAAGCGUUAUCCGGAUUUACUGGGUUUAAAGGGUGUGUAGGCGGGCUUUUAAGUCAGUGGUGAAAUCUCCGGGCUCAACCUGGAAACUGCCAUUGAUACUAUUAGUCUUGAAUAUUGUUGAGGUAGGCGGAAUAAGUCGUGUAGCGGUGAAAUGCAUAGAUAUGACUUAGAACACCGAUUGCGAAGGCAGCUUACUAAGCAAUGAUUGACGCUGAGGCACGAAAGCGUGGGGAUCAAACAGG